GGCAGUUUAGCUAAAAGGUAAAGCACAUGAUCAAUAAUCACACAGAUGUGAGUUCGAGUCUCAUGGCUGCCC
rnacentral:tRNA from 1 species